rnacentral:misc_RNA from 1 species
GAUGAAGAACGCAGUGAAAUGCGAUACGUAAUGUGAAUUGCAAAUUCAGUGAAUCAUCGAGUCUUUGAACGCACAUUGCGCCCCCUGGUAUUCCGGGGGGCAUGCCUGUCCGAGCGUCAUUGCUGCCCUCAAGCACGGCUUGUGUGUUGGGCCCCGUCCUCCGAUCCCGGGGGACGGGCCCGAAAGGCAGCGGCGGCACCGCGUCCGGUCCUCGAGCGUAUGGGGCUUUGUCACCCGCUCUGUAGGCCCGGCCGGCGCUUGCCGAUCAACCCAAAUUUUUAUCCAGGUUGACCUCGGAUCAGGUAGGGAUACCCGCUGAACUUAAGCAUAUCAAUAAGCGGAGGA